GAUGAAGAACGUAGCGAAAUGCGAUACGUAAUGUGAAUUGCAGAAUUCAGUGAAUCAUCGAAUCUUUGAACGCAUAUUGCGCUCUCUGGUAUUCCGGAGAGCAUGCUUGUUUGAGUAUCAGUAAACACCUCAACUUCCAUAUCUUUUUUGAAAUGGAGUUGGACUUGAGUGAUCCCAACGCUUUUCCUCACCGAAAAGUGGCGGGUUACUUGAAAUGCAGGUGCAGCUGGACUUUUCUCUGAGCUUAUAAGCAUAUCUAUUUAGUAUGCCUAAAAAACAGAUUAUUACCUUUGCUGCAGCUAACAUAAAGGAGAUUAGUUCUUGUGCUGACUGAUGCAGGAUUCACAAAGACAGGCUUCGGCCGACUUUGUAAACUCGAUCUCAAAUCAAGUAAGACUACCCGCUGAACUUAAGCAUAUCAAUAAGCGGAGGA
rnacentral:misc_RNA from 1 species